AUGUCAGCUACUCAGUUUACACACUACUUUUGUGCAUUCCAUCCUGUUUCUCAGUUUGACAUUCACAUUCAAAUUCAGAGUUUGACACUGAAACUGCUGGGAUUACAGGCAGGAGCCACCGCGCCCAGCUGGCAGUGCUUAUCUUCUAAAGUUGCAAUUGAGUUUUAUUCCACUGCAGAAUUUAUUCUGGAUUCCACUCCAGAAUCGCUUUUCAAAAAUCAUGCAGAUUUAAUGCCACCAGUUGUUUGUGUUAGGUAUCUACCCUGCAAAACAGCUCUAAAGGUGAUUUACCAAAAGAUUAACAGCAUUUAUCUCUGGUGGGAUAAUUUUUCUUUGCUUGCUUACCUGUAUCUUGCAGAUUUUACACAGUGAACGAUUGUAUAAUUUUAAAAUACAGAUAUGCACAAUUGUAUAAUGUAAAUAUGCUCAGCUUCAAUAAAUUUGUUUUAAGAACACAUUUUUAACUUUUCAUAAGGAGUCUUCAGUUUAAAAGUACAAUGUCAUAUUACAGAGUGUUACUCUGUUACAAAAUUAGUAAAGCUCAUUCUACCUCAAAAUCUGAAGUAAUUCCAACUUUUUUUUCAUCGUGCUUGAGUUUAGUUGAUAAAUAGCAUUUUAAGUACUAAAAAUGAUUGGAUGAGUAUUUCUCCAUUAAUAAGUUGCUGAGCACCAGGGUAGCGGAUGGAAGCCCUUUCUGUGUGCUAGGUUAAAACAUUUUACAUGAGGUCUUAUUUAACCCUCAACAGCCUUGUAGUUCCUAGAUGAACUGAUUGUUAGGCUAACCAGAGAUAUUAAUAUACCCUCCAGGAUAACCCAGCUAGUAAGGGCAGAGCCAGGAUGAUUCAGACGCAGACCAGAGCCGGGUAUUUUGUCCACAGUACUGCUGCUGCUUAUACCGUAACAGGAGAAGUACACAACAGUGUCUUACUGUUUCAUUCUUACAUGAAAAACACUUUUAAAAUAUUGAAACAUUAUAGAAGCAAAAGUGCAUCUCUAAAUGUGAUGUACUUUUAGGUCACAUUAUGUCCAAAGGAUUUGACCUAAAAUUAAUGUUGCUGUAUUAUGCUCCACACAGUAGGCUGCUCUGCUAGGGAAAUUUUUAAUAUUUUUAAAAAUAUUUUCAUAAGCUUUGGUUUUACCACUUCCAAGUCUGUACAGACUGGUUAUUUCUACAUUACAAAGACAGUGUCUCCCUCAAAGGCUGACAGUUUUUUUAUAGUCUGUGUUUGUAACAUAUACAUCUAUUCUUGCCAGAUGUGGGUCACAUUGCCAUCUGACCUCAGCAUCCUUUAUGUUAUGCUCCAACUUGGGUAAGCGGCUUUGUUUCCUUCCCAAUCUCCUGGUCAGACAGUUGACCUCACGUCUAUGUCUAGUGGUUUUCAAACAUCAGAGUAGCCCCUUGUUGGAGGGGCAGGGUUGGGGUUCCCCACUGUUUUUCACAUUGCCUUUCCAGGUAAGUUUUGGUCUGCGCUAAACCCUGCUUUUGCUUUGAGAUUCUCCCCCAACACAGCCAUACCCCACACCAGCUUGGCGCCUCUGGGAGACCGCAGCCCUUAGAGAAAAGGGGAAGAAAAGCUUCCUGACUACACAGGGCUGGAGGCGUCUGGCCUGGAGGGAGUCCUGUCAGCCAGUGUGAGCUGCUGGUGACAGGGAAAGACCAUGUGAAAAGGUCCUGACCUGCGGUUCAGGCCCUCGAGCAAAUGACACCAAAUUUGUCCCCCAAAUCAGCUUUGUUAUUCAAGAUGCGGCUUGCUAGCAGGUACUACUAACAAGGCGCAGCACCGUCUGGUAUCUUCCCAUUGGAAUCAGUUGUUACUGCUAACUAGGUAUUAGGUGUCUGAAAACCUGAUUUUACACUUAGACGCCCAGUUAUAUAGCUUUGGGAGGGAUACAGUUUUGAGGUGUGCAGUGACACUCUCACCUGCGAGGCAGAAGUGUGCUUGUUGGGGGAAGGCCAGAUAGGGGGUACACAGGGGUUGGCAUGCCGGGACACGCUUUUCCUGGAAGUGUACGUGCAGAAGGCCACAUCAUAGCCCAAGGCUCUAUGAGCACGAAAGGAACAUGGCGCGGGGCUGGGUGGGGGUCAUCUAGAUGAACCUGACGGUUAAUGACAGCAGGCUAAGAUGAGCCAAAUGUCCCUCUCAUUGGCCAACCUUGCCAGUGAGGCUGAAUGCUUCCAAGCUAAGAGUCUCCCCGUCCUGGACAGCACCUACAUGGACCCUGCCAGUGUCUGCCACCCGGGGUGCUUUCUGACCAGUUUGCUUGAGCUACAGUAAUUCAUUGGUUCAGCUUGCAGACUUGCCUUGGAGCCCUUCUAGCCAUGUAAGCUGACUUCACAUCUCAGACCUGACCCAUGGUAUGACUCACAAAUUACCUUUUCCGACAUUUUCGUGUCCUGGCCCCUUGUUGGCAGCAUGUGACCAACACUGGCCACCAAGGCCCAAGCUAGACUGGCCAACAGAGUGGGGAAGGCGGAGGGCUGAGGGCUGUGGAAACCACAACCGUUACUAGGUAGGAUUCAUUCUGCCAGUAGACUGAAAAGAAUGUCACCGAACAGUGUCGAGAAGGAGGAUAAGGAAGACCAUUGCGUGAUGCGCUGCUCAGCUGAGCAGACCUGGAGGCAGGCCCCUAAGGGAUAGCUUCAGGUGGGCCAAUGGGAGCAGCUGGCUUUCAAAAUGCCACUUAAAAGGGAGGCUGGCUAUUGGCCUACACUGCACAGGAACUUCCUGGCCAGAUGCUACAGGGCCUGGGGUCACCAGCAAGCCUAGAGCUGAGGCUCCCUGAGCCCAUCUCCAAAUACAUAAUCCGAGUGGGGCUGUGAGAGGCCAGAGGGGCAGUGCGGGACCUACUCCUAGAGGACUCACCCGCUCCCCAAAGGGCAUGUGAUCCAUGCCCCAGGCCAGUGCUGCUGGCUGAGUGUGAGGAAGCUUGGACUCCAUUCCUCAGGAGCCCAGGCACUUCAGCAGGAAGGCUGGGGACCUCUGGGGCCAGCACUGGGGGCAGAGCAAUAGACAAGACUAGAGGGCAGAGGGCACGUGGGAGCUAAGCCUGGGGAGAUAGGCAGGGGAGCUGCCACAGCUGGGUCCAACCCAAAGACUUCAGGGGCAAAUCUGCCACCCCAGCCAGCAUUGGGUUUCUCCAAGUCCUUCUCCUUUUGGGGUUGUGUUAUUUACCAAUUCCUAAAGGGGACCUCAGAGACUAGCUCAAAGGCCAUCUCUCUUACUGCAUCCUCCCUGGUCCCCUCAACAGGAAGCCAUGCAGAGACAGAGAGUAGUGCUUUCUGUGUGCAUUUCACCCAAAAACGCACACAGAAUGGAAACUAAACCAUCUCUUGGCAUGAAUGACUCCUGACAAUGACCCCAGAUUGCACCAGCCAGGCUGGGCUCAUCACCUUCCCCAGAUGGGAAGGCCCACCUGUGACCUGGCUAUUCUAGGACAUCACAGGCCAUCACAGGCCAAUCUGGUUCCCGCCCACCCCAUUCCACUGGAAGAUCAGGUCCAUUAAUUCACGAGAACAACUGAGAACUCAGAGAAGCUGUAACACUCAUGGUCAUGGUUUAUCACAGUGAAAGGAUAUAGAUUCCAAUCAAUCAGCAAGGGAAGAGCCACGUGGACAGAGGCCAGGAGAGACCAGGCCCCCUCCAUCAUCCUCCUCUGCUGGAGUUGCACGGUCAGUGCUUACUCCUCCCAGCAACGAUGUGCCGAAACACACAAAGCGCUGCCAGCUAGGGCCGCUCACCUGAGCCUUGGUGUCCAAGAUUUCUACUGGGGGCUGGUCACCCAGACAUGGCUGAUCCUGUUGGCUGAUGCUGGUUUCCAGCCCCUGCAGAGGUGGAGCUGACACCACUUGGCCCGAGGGACCCCCAUAGGUCACAUUGUUAGCAGAGACUAUCUCUUGGGGCUCAAGGCCCCCAGGUAAAUAAAUG
rnacentral:lncRNA from 1 species